GAUGAACGCUGGCGGCGUGCCUAAUACAUGCAAGUCGAGCGAACGGACGAGAAGCUUGCUUCUCUGAUGUUAGCGGCGGACGGGUGAGUAACACGUGGAUAACCUACCUAUAAGACUGGGAUAACUUCGGGAAACCGGAGCUAAUACCGGAUAAUAUUUUGAACCGCAUGGUUCAAAAGUGAAAGACGGUCUUGCUUCCACUUAUAGAUGGAUCCGCGCUGCAUUAGCUAGUUGGUAAGGUAACGGCUUACCAAGGCAACGAUGCAUAGCCGACCUGAGAGGGUGAUCGGCCACACUGGAACUGAGACACGGUCCAGACUCCUACGGGAGGCAGCAGUAGGGAAUCUUCCGCAAUGGGCGAAAGCCUGACGGAGCAACGCCGCGUGAAUGAUGAAGGUCUUCGGAUCGUAAAACUCUGUUAUUAGGGAGGAACAUAUGUGUAAGUAACUGUGCACAUCUUGACGGUACCUAAUCAGAAAGCCACGGCUAACUACGUG
rnacentral:rRNA from 1 species